CAGGAAUCUUGGUAAAGAGAACACUGAGAGGCCAGGCUAGGGAACCACCACCAAAUCCACCCUGAGCCAUUUCAUAAAAUCAUGGAAUGGUUAAAUUGGAAGGGACCCCAAGGGCCAUUUAGCCCAACCCCCUGCAAUGCAGACCUAGUCUGAGGAUGCCACCAAAAAGCCUGAAAGUAUUACUCCUGAAAGACAGUGGAAGACAUCUGUCGAGGCACUGAUGCCACCCAGGGCCGGAUUUUAGUUUGAUGAGGCCCUAAGCCAUGGGUAAGCAAACUAAGGCCCGGGGGUCGGAUCCAGCCCAAUUGCCUUCUAAAUCUGGCCCUCAGAUGCUCCGGGAAUCAACAUGUUUUUACAUGAGUAGAAUGUGUCCUUUUAUUUAAAAUGCAUCUCUGGGUUAUUUGUGGGGCCUGCCUGGUGUUUUUACAUGAGUAAAAUGUGUCCUUUUAUUUAAAAUGCAUCUCUGGGUUAUUUGUGGGGCCUGCCUGGUGUUUUUACAUGAGUAGAAUGUGUCCUUUUAUUUAAAAUGCAUCUCUGGGUUAUUUGUGGGGCAUAGGAAUUCGUUCAUUUCCCCCCUCCAAAAUAUAGUCUGGCCCACCACAUAGUCUGAGGGACGGUGGACCGGCCCAUGGCUGAAAAAGGUUGCUGACCCCUGGUGCCCUUUAUAUGUCCAGCUGUCCUUUGUCAACAACAAAUUGCCGCUGUUUUUCUGUGCUGGAUAUAUGGUAAUUUAUGGACCUAAUAGGCAUCUAAAGCCAUUUGCACAUAACAAAAUAUGUAUUGUAUGAAAGUAAUUGAUAUAGAAAUGAGCAAACCAGUGAUGUUUUAGAGAGCAGGCUAGCAGGCACGGCCCAUUACUUACAUCAUAGGAGCCUACACAACACAAAACACUGUUGCUGUAUGUAGGUUUUAGUUAAUUUGUUUUUUAUCUUAUAUUUUGGAAAUGUACAUCCAGUGUUUUUCCCCUUUAUUUUUUUUGGGGGGGGGCCCCAAGAGAGUGGGGCCCUAAGCUAUAGCUUGUUUAGCUUAUAGGUAAAUCCGGCACUGGUGCCACCUUGCUCACAGCUGAUAGCAGUGCAAGAAAAGGCCAGGAGCAGCCAAGCAGCUAAUUUGAAAUAAGGACUCUGCUCUGUACCAAUGUCAUAUGCAAACUGACCAUGCAGCUCUGCGUGGAGCAGGUAUCAGGACAAGGAAAACCCUCUACUGUCUGUGCAAUUUGUCUAGAGCAUCUGGAAAGUGAGGUGUCUGAAAACAUAUUCUUGGACUGACAUCUGACCAAGCAAAAUCUAUUUCAAAAGCCUUUAGACAAGAGCCAUGAUAAAGCAGUGCCAAUUAGAAGGCAAGAGCUGGAGGCACUUGCAAUAAACCACAAGCCAGUGCCUUUUCUUAAACAAAAGAUAUGUUGUUAACAAUGAUAAGAAUGAUGAUGAUGAUGAUUAUGAUGAUAAUUAAUAAUUUCAUUAAUGUACCACUUAUCUUCAAGCAAAGCAAUUUACCAUACAAUCAAAGCAUACAGAGAGCAAUUAAGGUUACUUGGAGGGUCAUUCUGCAGGGAUUCUUAAGCUGUGAUUCCUGUAUUACAGGAGUUUGGACUAGAUGACCCCUGGGAGAGGGGUCCCUUCUAACCCUACAGUUAUUUUUUUUCUUUGAUUCAUUGCAGCUUUAUCAACAGAGGUUGGCUACCUGUCAGGGAUUCCUUAGCUGUGAUUUGUGCUUUGCAGGGGCUGGUUUAUAUAAUCUUAGGGGUACUUUCUAUACCUGGAAUUUUAUGACUCUUUUGCUGUGGGUGAUUUUGAGGGGCCCUUCCAACUCUUUAGCUGGUAUUUCUGCAUUGCAGGGGGAUGAACUAGACGACCCUUUGGGGUCCCUUUAGUUAUUUGAUUUUCAGAUUCUUAAUUACAUUUAUAUCCCACCCUCCCUCAGAGGAGCUACUUGUGGCACACUCACUAAUAUUUAAUGGGAAACACAGCUCUGUAGCCUGGAGAGGGGUGAUUUUUUUAUUUUUUAUUUUUGGCAUGGAAAAUAGAGCCAUCUCUGAGCAGCUGUCAAUCCCUGUGACCUUAGCUCCUCCUGUGCAUAUUGCAUGAGGUUUUUCCCCCUCCUCCUCGUCCUCCAGUUUCCCCCCCUUUUUUUCUUUUUGCACACCCCCUCCUCCCAUGGACCCCCCCUCCCUUCCAUCUGAGUUACUGUUCCUCUGCGCUCCACCGGGACCUCAAUGAGAUUUGAGUUCCUGGUAGAUGACACGGAAUAAUUGAAAUGUCCUUCUGAUGACCUUCAGACUCCGGCAGCCUGACGGUAAUCAGGGAGGGCUGACAGAUGACUGGCACGCAGACCCCCUUCCGUGAAGCCGCACACGCACACACAUACCCUGUUGCACAUCCACACACAGGGACAGAGGCCACCUUUAUGACGAGAGAUGAAAAGCCCGCACUCGGGUCCUCAGACAGAACAAAGGGACUCAAAGCUGUGCUUUGCAGGCAUGAAGAAGGUGAGGACUGAGCAUCAUACAUAUUCAGGCCUUCCCAGUAGAGUCUCUCUGGAGCUCACUAACAUCUCUGAUCGCCUCAGAUUAUUGUGUCUUUUUUGUGUGCACGCAAAGUUUUAUUUAAAAAUUCAUUUUGUAACAGGCAAAACAGUUACAACAACCGAUGAAAAGCAAAAUUAUAGAAGAAGCAUGCAGAAUGAGUGUGAGUUAAAAUAUGCAAGCUGAAAAUCAAUCAGAAGGCAGAAACAUUUUUUUAAAUAUCCUAUGCUUUGCAAGUACUUAAAUUUGAUUAAAUUUAAAUUUGAUUAAGGCAUUUUUUUAGUUCCAGUGGAGAACUGUGUUGGUUAAGAUCAUAGAAUCGCAGAGCUGGACCACAAGGGUUCAUCUAGUCUAACCCACUACGAUGCAGAAAUCACAAGUACCGGUAAUUUUUCCCCCUUUGGUCAAGAUUUUUGUUUAAAAUUCCUUUUAUAAUGUAAAUACAGUGGUGCCUCGCAAGACGAAAUUAAUUCGUUCUGCGAUUUUUUUCGUCUUGCGAAGCACGGUUUCCCAAAGUCUUCAAAAUCACCAAAGUCUUCAAAAACCUCAAAAAAGGCUACCACACCUCGUGCUAUGAGUUGCUCCUCGAAGUCACCCUGGGUAUAACGGUUUUAAGAAAAAGGAAACAAACUUGCAAGACGUUUUCAUUUUUUGUUUUCUUCAUUUUUCGUCUUGCGAAGCAAGCCCAUAGGGAAAUUCGUCUUGUGAAGCAACUCAAAAAACGAAAAACUCUUUCAUCUUGCGCGUUUUUCGUCUUGCGAGGCAUUCGUCUUGCGAGGUACCACAAUAUGUACAGACAUAUUGACUGUGAAUCCUGGAAGCCCUGCACCCUGCCUUGCAGGCCUUUUCCCACCUGGUCUGAGAGGGAGAGCCUCUUACUGACCCCAGAUACAAAAGCUGAGGCUGCUGAACAGAACCUUGGACUGGAGAGGGUUUUAUUGGGAGUGGUUGUUACUGAUAUCAAUACUCCUUUUUCAUAUAUUUGUUUUAGAUGUUAUUAUGAUCUAGGUGGAAAUGUUCAAUUGGGUUGGGACUUCCGGGGUGGCGCCAUCGGCAAUGGCGGAUUCCCUCUGAACUGGAGGGACCAGCUCUACGGGAAUCGGGUCUUUUCCGCCACGGCGAAGCGGGGACCCAUUCAAAAAUCACAGGAGGAUGAAGCCUGUGACCAUGGGACUCGGCGGGCACCUUUAGCGCCCCCCCAACCCGCAAAAGAACCCAUUAAUGGGCUCCGGAGCGAAGAGGGGGAAGUGGCGUGGUGCUGAGAGUCAACUGCUUCUUCCGUGGAGCGAAGCCGCACAGCCAUUGCUGGAGAGCGCUGCCUUUUUCCUGGGACAAUCUGGCUUCUAAAAUAAUCACCCGUGAGUACCUAAACUCGGACAAUUGGACCCUAAAUAAGGACUUGUGAGCAGAAAGGAAAAUUGGACUUAAAUGUUUACCUUAAUUUGGCGCUGAAACGGGAAGUUCUAAACAGGAAGUCAGCCUUCCGUUUCUUUGUAGAUAGAUUAAAGCAAAGACAUGGCAAACUAGAGCUCAGAAAAUCGCCUGUAAAAGAUUAACUUGCAUCAUUUAAAAUUGCUGAACCCCCUUCGGAAGCAGGAGAAGAGGGGGGAUUUUUUCGGACUGUUUAAACCUGCAGAAGUGAGGGUAAAGUAAAGUAACUUUCCACCGUCCUGAUCCUGGAGCGGGGUGUUAGGACUGACGUUUUUUGAAGCUCAUUGACCAGAGACAACGUUUUUGACAGAUAGCUAUAAGAAGAGAAACUUUGACUCCACUGUUCCCCUUCGCUUCUUAAAGAAACAAAUAUUGACAAAAUAUCUGAAAAAGGAAACUUUUUCGCUAGACUUGUCUUUAAAAGAAAGAACAAAUAGAAGUUUUCCCCCUAGAGGGAGACUGUGAAACUGUAACCAACUCCGGGGAGCUGGCAGCUGUUACAGAUUACAAUCGUGGGAAUAGACAUCUGACCUUGCAGGACAAUGUACUCAGAAGCUCUGUUGUGUGCUUUCUAUAAAACAAAUGCCCUAUUGGAACAGCUACAUGAGAAGACGAAUUUGAUGGCUGAUUCGAUUAGAAAUUUUGAACAGGCAGUGGGAAAUUUUGAACAGGCAGUGGGAAAAUAUGUGGAGCCCACCCAGGAAUUAAAUCAGGAGUGUGCCUCGACAGAACAGGCCCAACAGGAACAUGAGCUUUCGGAUUUGACAAAUGAACUUGAAAAAAGCCAGAUUUGGAAAGAAAAAGUUUGGUUUGGUUUGGAAAUGGGGGGCUGGAUAGACCCCCCUAUGCAGGGAUGUUUGGACUUUCCAAGUCUGGCAAUGGGCCGUGAGAUGUCUGGGAUUGUGGGGGCUCUUAAUUUUGGAGGGAUUCUGAAACACGUUUUUAAAUGCCACAUGGAGUUUAGUUUGGACUAUGGAAAAGGGGCUGAUCUGUUGGAAAGGGUCAAAAACAUUGUUAAGCUGGAGUUCCCACGAGUGAAACGAGCAGGAGACAAGGGAAAAUACAGUUACAAAUAUGAAGAAGAGCUGCGGAAGGGACAUGGAAGAGACUUAAGGGCCUCGGAUAUAAGGUUAUCAGGUUAAUGCGCUAGAUCGAUGGGAAAAUAAGGACUGACAAAACCCGGGACCAGGAGGAAGGGCCGCUGGAUGAAGAUUGAUUGUUUCUAUUUCUUUUUCUACUACUAGGAUUGUUUUAUAAAAUUGAUGAAUGUUAGAAAAAGGUUGGAAUGAAAUUACUUGGCUUUAGUAAAAAUGUUUAAAGAAUUAUGUGAGAAUAUUAUGGUUAUGAGAAGUUGGUAAAAAUAAGAUUUAAGUUUUAAGUUUCAAGGUUUUUUAUAGUAAGAUAAGAUUAAAAUAGUUUAAGGUAAUGUAAUGACAGAAUUUUAUGAAAUAUGGAAAGGAUUUGCUGCAACAAUUAACAACUAGGAUACAAAAAAAGGGAGGAGGAGGAGGUCAAAGAAAGAAGGUAAUGACAGUUGAGGAUUUGAGAAUAAUGGAUUUGUUUUUAUUUUUAUUUUUUUUAUAAGAUAUUUAUUAAGUUUUUUAAAAAUAUUACAAUAAAAAUGAAAAAAAAAUGACAAAAAUACAAAAUAAAAAUAGUUAAAAACACACAAAUUUUCCAUUACUUAUUUUCCUUUGACUUAUUUCCCGGACCUCCUCAUACCUCCCUUUUUUGUAUUCCACUUCAAUCUGUUGAUUCAGCAAAUCCUUUAAAAGUAAUAAUAUUAAAUUUUUACCUAUUUAUAACCCUUUUUCAUAUUCCCUUAAAGCAUUACAGCUGGAAACCACUUAAUUACUAUCCAACAUCAUUCUAACAUUCAUUAAUUUUACAAUAUUUCUGUAGAUAAUCUUUGAAUUUCUUCCAAUCUUCUUCCACCGACUCUUCUCCCUGGUCUCGGAUUCUGCCAGUCAUUUCUGCCAGUUCCAUAUAGUCCAUCACCUUCAUCUGCCAUUCUUCUAGAGUGGGUAGAUCUUGUGUCUUCCAAUACUUUGCAAUGAGUAUUAUUGCUGCUGUUGUGGCAUACAUAAAAAAAGUUCUGUCCUUCUUUGGCACCAAUUGGCCGACUAUGCCCAGGAGAAAGGCCUCUGGUUUCUUCAAGAAGGUAUGUUUAAAUACCUUUUUCAGUUCAUUAUAUAUCAUUUCCCAUUUCCCCAUAUAUAUCAUUGUUUUUAAAAGUUUGUGGUGUAUUUUUGUUUUUUUUGAAUUUGUUUUUUUUUUUGUAUUGUUGGAUGUGGUUUGUGUUUUUCUUUGUUCUUUCUUUGUUCUUUUUCUACUUUGUUUUCUUUUGUAACUCUAAAAUUUUUUUUCCAAUAAAUAUCAUUUUUUUAAAAAAGGAAAUGUUCAAUUUGGUUGUGUACUUUUGGGUGUGUUUUAUUUAUUGUUUAUGGCUACUUUUGUUAUUUUUGAAAUCAUGUAUUCUUUUAUGCUGAAGGCUGCCUGGAAGUUCUCAGCACCCCUAAAAAAACUACAGUUCCCAGGCAGCUUUGUGGGAAGCCGCCUGCUUUCGAUGUACGGCGGGGUCAGCAGCUGUUUAAGAAGAAUGCAAAAGCAAUGGUGAAGUGUUUAAUGUUACAUUUCUUGGGGGCCCCAGACUUUCCAUCCAUUUCUGUCUUCCCCUCUUGCCAAGAAGUGUUAUUUUGCAGGAACAAACGUCAGUUAUUGACUAUAGAUAAAGGAGGUCGAAAAACAUUCUGCCAAAGAGUUAUCCAAUCCCCAUUAAUCUCCAUAAAACAGCUUUAUUGUGGGAAGACACCUUAGCUGUACGCUUCAUUUUGAUCUUGGUCAGUGAUUAAGGCAUUUUUACUAAACUUAUGCCCCUUAUAAAUGCAGCUUGUGAGUUGAAUGGUUAAAAGCUUGUAAUGUGAGCGGUUCCUCUCUGCUAUUCAUUAAAUAAAGAUUUUAAUUUUUUGGCUUGAAACCUGAGGUCCCUGACCAAAACCACAAACAUUACUAUGCUAUUCUGCCUUGGUCAGGCCCCACUGGGCGUCCUGUGUCCAGUUCUGCAUGCCCCAAUGUAAGGGGGACAUUGACCUGCUGGAAAGUGUGCAAGGGAAGGCAAUGACAAUGGUGAAGGGUCUGGAAACCAAGCCUUAUGAGGAAGGGUGGAGGGAGUUGGGUAUGUUUAGCCUGGUAAAGAGGAGACUGAGAGGAGAUAUGAUAACCAUCUUCAAAUAUCUAAAGGGCUGUCACAUGGAGGACAGGCUAGGACCCGAACCAAUGGAUUCAAAUGACAAGAAAAGAGAUUCUGACUCAACAUUAUAAAGAACCUUGUGGUGGCAAGCGUUGUUCUACAGUAGAACAAGCGCCAGUCCACCUGUGAGACAAGGUGAGGCAACUGCCUCAGGUGGCAGGAUCCACAGGGGCAGUAGAUCCAGCCUCCAAGGAAGACAUUGUCCUCUGCUGCUGCUGCUGCAGGGGUGGCACCGAUGACUGUGGCAUUCUCCUCAGCAGUCCCUCGACACAGCCUAUACAGAGGCCUCUCAGUGAAUAGGAGGCACUGCUGGUCUCCUUCCACCUCUAGGGAGGAAAUGGCAGGGGCUGCCUUUCAGGGUCUCCUGGGGUCCUCACUUGCCCAGCGUGAAUCAACCCCCCAAACCCAAUGACCUUUGAUUUCCACUUCCACUAUUGGGUAAGGUUUAUUUGAUUCCUCUAUUGUUCCUACUGUAGAUUUUCACUCACCCCUUCUUCCCUAGUGGGAGCAGAGGGAAAGUUCACCUUAGGUGCCAAAAUGUUUUGGGCCAGCCCUGACUGGAAUGGACUCCCAUGGAAGGGGGUGGGCUCUCCUUCAUUGGAGGUUUUUAAGCCACCUGUCGUGGAUUCUUUAGCUGGGAUUCCUGCACUAGGUGACCCUUGGAGAUCCCUUCUGAUCCCACAAUUAUAAGAUUUUAUAAUUAUCUCUUGCAACUUUACAAAGUUGAGGGUGCCUUUCCCUUCACAAGUUCUUGGGAGAAACUUAACCAGCAAACAGCAAUUUAUAAAAGCAAUCAGCUCAGAGCUGAACUCACAUUCUUUUGCACGGCGGAAUGUGGGUCCCGCCUCGGAUAUUUAAACUUAUCUCAAGGCAAACAGCUGAACGUGAAAUUAGGGAGCUGCAUGAAACAAAACUGAUUUUAAAUAGUCAGUUGUAACAUUUCCUUAUUCUUUUGAAGUCUUGCAAAUGGACUCAGCUAAAUUUAGCGGGCUUGGUGCUAGAACACCAGACACUGUUUUGCUUCGAAGCCGUUGUGCAGUACUAAGCAUUCACUUUAACAGAUAAAAACUCCAAUGCACCAAUGCAAAUGGCCCCUAUCAGAGGCACUCCCUAGUUCCUGCAUCCAUAACUUAUUCUGUUGUAAAGGUUUACUAAAUUACAAAUGUGAAAAAUAUUUUCUUUUUUCUCACCUAAUUGCUGGAAGAAGGGACGUGGGUGGCGCUGUGGGUAAAACCUCAGUGCCUAGGACCUGCCAAUCGUAUGGUCGGCGGUUCAAAUCCCCGCGGCGGGGUGAGCUCCCGUCUUCGGUCCCAGCUCCUGCCCACCUAGCAGUUCGAAAGCACCCCUAAGUGCAAGUAGAUAAAUAGGUACCGCUUUAUAGCGGGAAGGUAAACAGCGUUUCCGUGUGCUGCGCUGGUGCUGGCUCACCAGAGCAGCUUCGUCACGCUGGCUACGUGACCCGGAAGUGUCUCCGGACAGCGCUGGCCCCCGGCCUCUUAAGUGAGAUCGGCGCACAACCCUAGAGUCGGACAUGACUGGCCCGUACAGGCAGGGGUACCUUUACCAUUACCUAAUUGUUGGAAGGGUAGCAAUAAGCUUGGUACAUAUUAUCACUGAUGGCAGGAAUGUAAAUUGGUGAUUUUUGGAAUUUAAUUUUGACAGAGAUGAUAAAUAUUACUAUUUGUGGUGUAAAAUUAAUGUGACUGGAUAUGUCUGAUGAGACCAAUGUAGAUAUAUAGUCCAAAGAAUUGGUCUUAUAUAUCACCUUGCAGCUCAAUGGAAAAUCUUACAUUGGACACUUGGUACCACUCAGUCUUGAACAGAACUAUAGUAGAGAAAAUAACACAUAAUUUGGAGUUCUAGUCCUUGUCAAAAUUUCAAAUUAUUUUAGAAGAACCUUUUAGAAGAACUGACAUUCCUUUAUUACAGAUUCUACCUUUUGACCUACGAAGCUGCCUUGUUCUGAAGGAGGCCUUCGAUAGCCCAAACCUGUCCAUUUUUUCUUGCAACGGAAGUGAAAGUCGAUCAGGUCCCUAGAGAUUGAUUGAAUGACAGAUGCAAAGGACUGAAUUCACAAAGUUCCCUGGGAAAAGAGUAUUCCUCAUUGCUGAACUCUGUGCCUUCUCCCCAUCUUUGGAUUCAUGCUGCUUUGGGGGUAUUUCGCAGGAAGCUAAUACAGCAGAAGACAGAAAUGGGAUUCAAGAUGACCUUAACAGAUUGGAGAACUGGGCCCAAACUAACAAAAAUAAAAUUCAGUUGGGACAAAUGUCAGGAUCUAAGGCAGAUAUAAUCAGAUGCAGAAAUAUAGGAUGGGGAACAAAUGAAAAGGAUCUAGG
rnacentral:lncRNA from 1 species